AAACAAGUUACAUAUAUGAGCAUAUCAGACAUACAUCUGUGUCAUUGCAAUGUAGUCCGAGACAGUUCUAUAUCAAAACAAAUACCAACUAGAAAAAAUAAAAAUAAUAUAAAGUAUAUAUUAACAUUAGCAAUAAAAUUCUCUCUCAUAAAUGAUACAUGAAUUGUUUCAUUCCUUCAAAUAGAACACAUGCAAUUGUACUCAUUCAUCUUAAUGAGGUAUGAACAAACUCAACCAAAAAAUAUUUUAUCAAAUGGCAUUGACUGCCAAGGACUGAUUAUCAGGCAAUCGAUCAGCAUUAUAACUCAUUAAAUGUCUGCAUUGGAACAGAUAUCGGACAGCAUGGGUAUUGAAUCUGUAUAAUUCCAUGCAUCAUUGGAUUUAACAUAAUUACACCUUCUCCAGAUAAAAGGAAUCAUAGGAAGAUUGAGGAGAUUUUGUAAACAUGACUUUCAUACAAUAGGAUAUGAACAGAGAAAAUGCUCAACUCCUGACUCAAUGUUGCCUGUGAGACUGUGCUUCCCUUCAAUAGAAAACGGAAGACAAAAUGUCCCAUGAUUCAACUCAAAGCCUGAAUGAUGUGGAUCAUUUAUAACUUCUCAACUCUAGUCUUACUAUAGAAGUUCUGUUGAAAUCUAUUGGGUUCACACAUAUGGCUGUUUACACGUGAUCUGGUUCAAGCUGUCCAAAAGAACAUUGCCCCUUGGAGGAUUUGUGUCAUGGCAGUUGUGGAUGGAGAACAUGAUCUUCAAAACAUGUUUUGGAAAUGUUUUGAUCAAAAGUUUUCAGACCUCAGAUGUAGAGCUUGAGGCCAGAAUUCUCCUAUUGUAUCCAGGGAGAACAUAGGAUGAAUGGAAAGGAGCUGAUGAAUAUAAUUAAGUGAAUCUCCAGACAGCAGAAGUCUUAAAAUAUACACAUAGGUGUAAAUGCGUGUGUGUUAUGUUUGUCUGAAUAAAAAACAGGUUUCAGAGCUGCUCCAGGCUAGAUCCUGGCAGACAGGAGGAAGCUGUGUGCUUUCACUGUUGCCUUUUGCUUCCUGUUGUUUUUUCUCAUCUUGUGCAGUUUGACUGAACCCAGUUGCUUUUGGAGGAUAAAGAAUAGUGAAGAUAAUGAUGGACAUUUGCAAAAUGACUGUGGUUUUAUCCUUUGUACAAUCGAGGGACCUAUUGAAGAAAAUUUUUAUAGUAAACUUCUUAAUUACAUUAAUUUUAGAAUACCAGCAAGAAAAUACGAGUUUUUUCUGGUUAUGAUUUUUGCUACUGAUGAGAUCAACAAGAAUCCUUAUCUUUUAUCCAACAUGUCUUUGCU
rnacentral:lncRNA from 1 species